rnacentral:tRNA from 1 species
GGCCGCUUGGUCUAGUAGUAUGAUUCCUGUUUUGGGAGUUCAACACAGAGCUUACGUAAUACAGGAGGUCAUGGGUUCAAUUCCCAUAGCGGCCC